GUGGUGAGCUGCACCAGCUGUGACCUAAUGUGGUCCCCCUCAGUUAAGGACAUCCUGGGUAGUGGAUAUUGGCCUGGCACCUUAAAUUUCUGCACCCUGUUUUCAAUGGAUGUCUUUCAGUCUUUCUAUGACAUUAAGAAGGCUGCACCAGGGAUGUCACUUAAGGCAUUUGUCAAAAUGCUGGAUGAAAGAACAGCCCAUUUUGGAAGGACUGGCCGAAUAUCAGCUGAUGCCUUCAGUAAAAGCUUUGUGGAGUGGAGUGCUGUUUGAGAUGGACAGGAUGUGCAAGGAGCCAUGCGUUAGCUGCCCUGCCUGCACUCCAGACGUGCUUGCCGUCUCAGUUGAUGGAAACUGUAAGCUUUAUCGCUUUCAAUCUAAUGCAAGCACUUCAGAGCAGGGGAACUUUGAAGGUGUUUUCAUUGAAAAAGAUGAGGAAGUUGCUGAGUUUAUGAAAUACAUCCAGAGACACACAAAUGAGGUGGCUCAGCUGAGGAACCUCUUGUCAAUGCGUCCUUUUCUCUCCGUCAUGCAUGCAAAGGCUCUCAUUUGGAAAUGCGAGAUCAAAUGGGGAGGUGCGUUUCAGGAUGGGGCCGGUUCUACAACAGGAAAAGAGGUGGGACAAGUAAACAGUUUCCUGUCUAGGGCGGCCACUGAAGUACAUGUCUAAAGCAGGGCGAACAGACAUGCUGACCCUCCUGGCUUUGGGGUGGAACAAAAGGAAAGUGGAACAACUGGGCCGCAGUUUGAGCCAGAGAUAUCUCAAGAUCAUACGGAUCCUUAGAGAACAAGUGGAGAGCCUGAAUGCGACCAAAAAUGAGCUGGGUGUGGAUGACGACACACUGCAGCAAUGGGUGGCCGAUGUGCAGAAAUGGGCUGAAGAAACUGAUCAAACUGAUGGCAGCCUUGGAGCGUUGCAGGCACGAAUAGAGGAGCUUGUCGUCAUCAUCAGAGUGCGAACACAAGGUUUUUACAGACAAAAUGAUAGCAACAAGAGGCGACACAGAAUUCGCAAGGUCAUCUUAGAUGAGAAGAAACGCUUGGCGGCUGCUGUUGACGACCACAACAAGCUUGCUGAACCAACAAAGCAAAUUGUAUCCAGUGAUGCCCUCAUCCAGACCGACAUUUGGCUCUGGCAGAGCACAAGUGAACCUGCUGCAGACCUCCAGACAAAGAGGUCUUUGAGAAGGUGAUGGCUGUGAGGCGCCUGAGAGAGGAGGAGAUGAUCCUUUGCAGGGAGAUGCGGCAUCACUGGACAGUGUUGCGAAUGCGAUCUGUGGUGUUGGACAAUCUCCUCAGACUCCUCCCUUGUUGGCAUGUCGGAGGAUGCACAGAAGGGACUCCAUAGCCUGGUUUUAAAAAAACAAAGUGAACUGAAAGCUGAAAUGCUCAAAGUAAAGGACAUGUACAAGAGAAUCCUCAGCCACCAACCACUCCUGGAAAUGGACUCGGAGGAGGAGGAGGACAUUCCAGACGAUGCCACUGAGCGUGAUUUGAG
ensembl:lncRNA